rnacentral:lncRNA from 1 species
GACGACGCGAAGGCGUCGUGGGUCGUCGUCGGCAAGCGCGAGUGCCAGGUGCGUUCUUAUUACACUGGUUCCCGUACGACCGCGUCGGCGUGGUGAACGCCGUUCCUUAAGGACUUUUGCCGGCGUGUCUCUCCGCCCACACCUCGCUUUCAAUCCCCGACCCUAUGACGCCUUUCAACUCCGCUUCUGACGCCUUUCAACUCCACCCCGACGAGUGCCAGCCGGACAAGAACGAGCUCGGGGGGAUGGUGGUCAACUUUCGCGAGAAGGCGCUCAGGCGCGUUCACACGUACACCGGUCCCGGCGCCCUCUCCGUCGCUCUCGUCCAAUGAACCGUCCACGUCAUCAAAUAACUAACCAAUCACAACAAUUCCCGCCGCGUCGCCCGCCAAUCGAACGACGACACCUCAGAGAGUUGUCGCGGCACAAGGCGCCGCUGUUCGCGCUCCCGGCGCAGUUCCAGCUCGAUUGCAAGCUGCGACUGCUCGUGCACGCGGCGCGCGGCGCGGGCGACGACGACGACGCCGCGCGCGGCGGCGGCGGGAGAGGCGGAAGAGGAAGGGGCGGACGCGGCGGCGGCGGCGGCUUCCCCGCGGGCGCCCGCGGCGGCGGCGGCGGCGGCGGCGUAA